GACGAACCGUGCGAACGUUGUUCGGAAUCACUGGGCUUAAAGGGCGCGUAGGCAGGCCGCCAAGUCGGGGGUGAAAUUUUUCGGCUUAACCGGAAAACAGCUUCCGAUACUGGCGGUCUCGAGGGAGGUAGGGGCAGAUGGAACUUGUGGUGGAGCGGUGAAAUGCGUAGAGAUCGGAAAGAACACCAACGGCGAAAGCACUCUGCUGGGCCGACACUGACACUGAGAGACGAAAGCUAGGGGAGCGAAUGGG
rnacentral:rRNA from 1 species